AUGCGUGGUAGUGAACAAAAAGGAAUUACUUAGCACUGAAUGUGGCUUCAGGGGCUGCAUUCAUCUUUGUAGAUUGUAUGAACUAGACAGGUGUAGUUCUCUCAUGGUAUUUGUUGAUUGAAGAGGCAGACUGAUAGUCAUCAGAGGUGAGAAGACUGUUAGUAACAAAAUAUUUUGUUUUUUUUUCUUCUCUUUCUGCUUAAUACCCUCUGUAACCCAUUGUUGCUUCUAUCUUUGUGAAGUUUGCCUUCUUUCCUGGUCUCGUUCCCAUGAUUCUUCUGGAAGUCUUUUUCAUCACUGCAUACCGGGCUUCUCUGGCUACAUGCCUGCCCUGUCAUGUUCAGCAGAUGUCUUACCUCAGUGCAGGUGUGGCUUUGUAAAGGCCAAGUUUUGGACCUUGAAUAUAAUCCAUUCUGUCUUUCCUUCCUAUUAACUAAUUAAGUGCUUUUUUUCCACUGCCUGCUAGGUAGCUGAUGUGUUUCUGACCGGCAUACAGUAAGUUGGUCCUUGGAUGAAGAAGUGUGUCUCAUUUAAACCGGACCACGUCCAGGAUCUCUUAUGAUAAUCACUGUUGUACUGACAUGAAAGAUGGGGGAGUUGGUGAUGCUGCUGUGAAGCAGCCAUCAGGACGUUGUUCUGUAGUGUCAGAAAGGCAAGUCACCUUGUUCAUCAAAUGAACAAGAAGGGAAUAAGACAGGAAAGAGAGUGGUUAGGAAGCCAUGAAGAAGUACCUAUCAGCCAGUUUGCUUGUUGGGCUUUGUGCUCAUUCCAGCUGUGCUUUUGCCAUCCCUCUGCUCCUUCCAGGAGUGGAUGCUCUUGCUCAUCCUAUUUUAAGCACCUGCUUGUGCACAAAACCCUGCUGCCUGCACGCAGUGUGGUUUGGACAGUUGCAGGUGCUUGUCUGAGUGGGUGAUGCUGUGCUCUAUAGAGAGCAUAUUUUCUGUUUUGUCUGACAUCAAGAAAUACAGCUUUUCUGCAGUCAUCUCCUAAAAGGAAUCCACUUUUCUCAUCAGAAAUCUAUGCAAAAUGUGUGCUUGCCCUCUGACUGCACGAUACCUGCUGUGACCGUGGCUGAGGAGGAAGGGCAGCUGCCUCAGGUGCUUCGUUAAUCCUGCUUUUGUGCACAGCUUUGUUCCGUGGUCCCGAUCUACCCAUCGUGACUUGCAGGAAGAGAAGAGAGGAACCUGAGGGCAGCUGAGAAACUGAGAGAGAAAUGCAGCAAACAGACUGCAAUUCUGCAUCUCAAGCGCACAGUGAUGAACACGUAAUGGAAAGGACAUGUUCCUCAGCACAGUUAAUUAUGUUGCCUUCUCAACAGUGAAUUCCCUUGCUCACCAUGUCAAGAAAUGCCUCAUUCAAGAAAAUAAUUAAGUAAGCACUCUCAGCAGUGGAGGUUUAAUGUCUGGACUGUAUCUUGUAAUAUUUUUGACACUACUCAGCAAUCAAUUCAGUGAGCUCGUGUCUCAAGGGGCUAUUCAUUUGUUAAUAAACUUAGGUUGCAUUCCAGCUGCAACCUCACAGAGGGAUAUUUUAUCCAGGUAAGAAAUGGCUUGUUCAUUUUUAAUGUGAGUGACUUGUGUGUCUUUUUGCUUCCAAGUCAAUGACUUGACACAUGGGAGAUAUUUCACUAUCAGCAGGAGAUGCAGCCGGCUUGGCCUUGUGUUGUACAGCUGGCAGCUGUGUGACCUUCUGUCUGAUCAGAAUGGGUUUUCCUUCCGGGGGCAAAAGCAGUAUCCUGUUUUUGAAAUGUAGUUAGCAGUUCUCUUCAAGCAUGUAUAAGAAUACUGAGAUCUGUUUGUUCAUCUGAGCACCACAGAACUUGGGAUGGAGAACUGAGAGAAUGCAGUGAUGAGGGUCCUUUGAAUUUUGAAUUUGGGAAAACGCUGUGGAUAUCUAUGAAGAACUCUGGCACAGCAAUGUUGUUAAAUUGUGCUGCAUUUAUCAAUAACAUUCACCAGUAUUUGAGUCCUCGGUCGUUCCUAUUUCAUAUUUGUGAUGUUUGUGUACAGAAGCCACAAGAUAUCUUGCAAGAGCUAGUUGUUUUGCAGUAGUUUUGCAUUUUUCAGUGUUUAACUGCUCAUCUCUCGUGCAAAUAGUUUGUCAAAUAUGAGAGGCUGUUUUUCAGUCUUUCUCUUGCAAACUCACAAUCCUGAUCACCACUUUAAUGAUUGUAAAGAGUGAGCUGCAAAGCUGUGGAGUCCGCAGAGUUUCCAAAGAAGGAUGCUGUGAACCCAGCAAUGAACAUGUAGGAUUGUUCAUGGAUAUGGCACAGAUACAAAACAAGCCGAGUAUAUUUUUGCCUUUGUCAUAUUUUUACUAUUUGCUGUUAGAAGGAUAUUCUAAUGAACAUGAAGUCUACAAAAUACUUACUUAGGUGUCAUCAACCCCUUUAACCAAGAAGAUGACAAAAUGCUCUACACACCCUGAGGCAUGCCUUCGAUCUUGAAUCUCCUGCCACGUAGCACUGGUGCAGUGAGAUGUGCACUGGAGUGCAGGCAAACAUGGGGGGAUGGUCUGAGGCUGAGUGCUGGAAUGAGUCAAAGCUGCUAGAAGAAAAUUAGGGUGUACUGGAAUGUAUUUUCUAAUGUCAAAAGUCCCAUCUUCUCUGUGCCCCGGCCCAAGCCUGCUCUGUCUCCACGGCGUGCAUCUGUACUUGUUUCCUUUGGAGCUGAAAGCAUGUUCUUCUAUCACUGAUGCUGCAGUUGAGUCUUCUUACAGGGAGAACCAGUAUGCCAUAGUUCAGCAUUAUCUGCAUUAAACUCAUGCAAGUUCUCUCAUCCUUUUAAUUUCAGAUUUAUGCUAAAUUACAUGCAGCUUUACGGGGUAACUGCCUUCCAGAGCGUGUCAGCUGAAGAAUUGAAGGUGAAAGAUGAGAGCAUUAGCGCACAUCACUUUCUGUAGGUAUCAGGGUGCUAUUCAGUACUUCAGUUACUUGUGUACUUUGCUCACUCCACUGAUACCAAAGAACUUCAGUGAGAACAGAGGAGUUUGAAGGGUUGUGAGUCUGGUACAGAGGAGGACAUGGAAAGCCGUUUCACUUGUUAACAGACCACAGCUCAGGGAUCUGCAUAAAGCUGGUAUGUUUUGACAGUCAGAAUUCAUUCUUGCAAUCAAACCCUUCAUAUUCUACAAAGAUGUCCAUUUUAUAUCACUAUAAGGGAUCCUGAAAAGGGUUCCUCCUACACUGCCAAGCUUGCAAAUGGGAAAAGUGUACUGAACCUGAGAGACAGACUUGGUCAGUCUGUCUUUUGGCAGAGAGUAGCAAAGGAUAUAACUGUACAGAAUGAUCGUAGAACAAAUAGAGGGAAGAUGCUUCAGGAGCUCUUACAGACAUUUUCUUCUCCUCCCCCUUGCCUCAUUCUUUCAGUAUCUGUUCGUGGCAUUGCACAGGAUACUUCUGCUAGCUUUGCUAACUUAACAGACCUGACAGAAGUUUGUAUUUCUGCAUGUCAGAAGUCAUGCUGUACAAAUUACUUUUGAAAUUCAACUCGUGUACCACACUGAAGUUGUACUUUCAGUCCUACUGGAAACUGGGACAGUUCUACAGUCCAGGAAUGGUGGAGAAAGAUGAAACCUUCCUUGGUUGUUGCCACAAUUUCCACCCCUAUCAGAAGGACUGGAAGAGGGAGAAUUGAUGACCUGGUGAAAGGGAAAGGCAAGAUUUCAGUAGGAGGUUUAUCUGUUAAUGCUGCAUCUUGCUGCAGGUUUGCAGUGGUCUUCAAACAGAUGUUUGAAUAGAAAUGUUGGAUUGGGAUCUGUAUGGGAACCGUUGAAUCACGGCCUGAACCUCUGAUUGACCACCUGAGGCAAGCGCUGAGUCAGCCACAGGAGCACAGGGAUCCAAUGCUGUUUUAUGUCUGCAUAUUCUACUGGAUGAAAUGGAUAUGACAUGAAAUGAAUAUGAGAGAAGGAAUACCUGAAGAAAGGAGCUAGCAAAGAAUGGAGCACCAGGAUUUCUUAGCUGUGUGAAGUUUGACUGUGAACUCGUGCUGUACUUUCUGUGAGCAGUAACUCCUGAAUGUGAACGCAUAAGAAGUGCCUGCAGAGCACUGCAGCCCUGCUUCAAUGAUGGGAUGGAGUAACUGUGAUCUGGAGGAGCUCAGGUACAAGGAGCAGCGUGUUACCAGGAGCGCAGUUCAGAAAUGUGUGAUCUGAAAGCACGGAUGAGGCUACUGUCCCUUUGUUUUUGAGCACAAACCCUCUGUUGAGAGUGAAAACAACUUUGUCUUUUCCUGCUUAUUGUAGUCACCUGAAUUAAAUGCACUCCAGGUGAGCAUAUCUGACAUUUUUUUCUGUUUUUUUUUUGUCUGACAAGAGCUGAUUGCAGAAUUCCUGAGACAGUGGGAAAAAAGAUUUAUAGAACUGUAGAAAAACUGUUUCUCCAUGUCACAGGUUCUCUCCUUAAAGUAGUUCAACUUAAAUUGUGUUUCUAAGAAACAGCAAGAAAUUGGAAGGAUUUAUCUGAAUGAGAGUUAAAACAGACAUGGCAGUAUUUGUACUGGGUUGCGUUUUUUGCUUCUCUGUUUUUUUUCCCUACUCCCAGAUAUGCCUUUUCCUUUCCAGUGUAUCCAUAUCUGGAGGUUCUGACUAGACAGAGACUUGUGAGGGUUAAAAUCUCGAGGAACAGCUGGGAGAUGCUUAGCAAGCUGAAGUGACUUAGAGUUAAGGGUCUUCUGAGUCUACUAAGAAGCCCCACCCUGUCUUGGUCUGCCUUCUCAGUGACACUGGUAUCACAUUACAGUUCAGGGACUAAAGGGUAGGAACCUGGGUAUUUCCUGUGUUCAGCCCUAUUUACAUAGAAACAACAUUCUGGAAUAUCGUGUGGCAAACCUGCAAGGUUCUGGUGGGACAGUAUUGCCAUGCUAAUCCCCUGCUUGGGGUUACAGGAAAGAAGUACUUUUUUUCUCCAUGCUUACAUCUAUGCAGCCCCUGAAAAUAGUCAGCAGAAUUUGGGUGCUUCCAUUAUCAACUAAUUGAAUUCGUUUGGCUCAAUCAAGCAUUCAGCUAUUCUGCAGCCAGUGGUGUCAGAUGGGACAUGUAUUUGGCUGAGUUUCACAAAAAUUGUUGGCUCCACGUUGGUUGUACAAUGGGGAACACAAAACCACUUCAGGAUUCAGCUUUCACAGCUUCUCAGCAUGUUAUCUGAACUGUUGUCUGUAUGCAGUGCUGCAAUUGCUGCUAGGGUUUAAGCACAUCUCCUGGUCUUGAUCUCCUCUUUGUCACCUUCUCACCUUUUCAGCAAGUCUGGAGGAAGCUGAGCGCAGCAACCUUUUGUGUUUUCCACUCUAAAUGUCAUUCAUCUUCAAGAUUUUCCUGUCAGCCACGUUAAAUAGCAUUCCACCAUGCUCACUCACUUGCUAUACAUUCCAGAUUUGCAUCCCGAAUGUGGAAAUUAUUUAUGAAUUUCUUGAAUACUUUAUCUUACGUUAGAUUAAUUGUAGAUUACGUCUCCUUCUGCUGUCUUUGUGUUCUCAGGCUCAGCUUUGAAAGAUCUGAAUGGCUAUGUGAUAAAGUGACGAGAGGCAAUAAAACUAUAGGGCAAAACCACAUAAUUAGAGGAAGGAAGACACUACGGACUGCAAUGCAGCCUUUGAAACUUCCUUGUCAUCUACUGGUUAUAACUUUUGCAUAUGGAAGCAUACAGAGGUAGAGUUUGGGGGCCUUAUCCAGAGUACCGUGUUUACUGCCAGUUGCACUGCACUGAUAUCAUUUGUUUGUACUUUGAAUCUUACCAGGACCUCCCCAGAAAUUCUCUUGUAGAUGUGGAGUGAUAGGCCUCAAAGUAAAGCUGUACCUCCGAGCUUCUGUGAGGCUGAAGUCAAGGAAUUAUCCUGUAAAUCCAGAUUGAGUCACACCUGGACAACCCAUUGUGUGAUACAGAUCCCUGCUGGGUUGCAGUUUGCAGCCACAGGGAAGUAUUGACACUUACUCAGCUUAAAGGCCAAAUAUAAAUUAAAUCAAAACAGAAGUCCCAGCAGCUUUGGGAGGAAGACUUGGCCUUUAGACUCCUUUUGCUCAUCUCUAAAGGUAAGUUUUCCUCUCAGAUGACCUAAUGGCAGUUUCUUCUGAAGAUGCUGUUUAGCUCUCCAUGUUAAUCCAUGCGUUGAAACAAAUGCUGCUGCUGGUGUGUGGAGCAGCUUCUCUCUUGCAGGCACUCUAUGCUGGCAGGGCUGCAGCUGUCUGACACCAAACUUGUACAUGGCUAGAGAUCAGCUUUCUAAGAACCCGGAGGGCCCUCCUUUCUGCUGGCUUCCCCCCAUAUCUCCAUGCUGCGUGAGACUGCUGUGAGCUUUUAUACAGGCAGUAUAUUUACAGUAGCACUGGAUGUGAAGUGCAAAAUGCUCUUUAAAGUCUGCUUAAAAUCUCUCCCCUGUCAGUUCCCAAAUUUAAUAAUGAUGGAGUUUGGGAAAGGUGUACGAACUGCUAUCUGGUGUGUAUGUGCAAGAGAUGAAGUGCAUGUGUAGUUAUAAAGCACUCUUCAGAAUCUGGUCUGCAGUCUAUUAACAUGCUGAACAUGCCUUUUUUAUGGUGGUGAUUUACAGUCCAGCACAACUAUGUGAAAUCGCUUCAUUAUAUUUGAAUAAUGAAAAGAGUGCCAUCAAAAAGGCAUGUCUCCAGGGAUCUCUCUGAGGCAACACUUUAAACAAAUGACUUUUUAGAUAAAUUUAUUAUGAAGUGUGAUGAAAGCCAUUUUUCUUAGCAGUCACAUCUUGUGAAAUCAAUGAGCUUUGUUGUGCUGUAGUUUUUUUUUAAUCUCUUACAUAAGUAAAGACUAUGUCUGUAUAAAUGGUGGUUGAUGUUCUGCAAUCACCAUGGAAAGGGAAUGUAAUGUUUUAGUGUUUAAAUUCUGGUUUGUUAUGGCUGCUAAAUAUUUGUGGACUGAACUUAACAGCCUAGUCUUGGAGUUGGAAAUAUCAGUUGCCCUAAAAAUUGUUUUUACAGGCAGCUAUGAAUGUUCAUCCAGAUUUGUUAAGCUAAAAUGUGUUUUUAUAAAAUUAGAGCAUUUGCCUAAGACCUCUUCUGCCAAAGGAGUACCCAGCUUUCCUGGUGGCAGUCUGUUAAACUGUGCUACAUGAAGUUGGCCAAACCACUCAGAAAUCACCAUCGUUGGGGCUUUCAAAGUAUUAUAAAAACACUUCUUAUUGCUUUGUCAUGUGAGCGUCCUUGAAUGUCUCAUUAAAAAUCUAACAUUAGAUUAUUAACGAGACAGCUUUUUUUCUAAAAUCCGCACUGACUUUUUGUAAUCAAAGACGCAAUGAAAACACGUGUCAUCAGGACAAUGAUAUUUUGAAUGAAGAUAAAUUAUGUUCUUUCUUCUGGAACUUCAUUGAAGUUGAACCUGAUGAAGUUCAACAAGAACAAGUGUAGAGUCCUGCACCUGGGGAAUAAUAACUGCAUGCAUCAGUGCAGUCAGGGGCUGAGCUGCUGCAGAGGAGCUGUGCAGAGAAGGACCUGGGGGUCCUGGUGGGCAGCAGGCUGGCCAUGAGCCAGAGGUGUGCCCUGGUGGCCAAGAAAGCCAAUGGUAAUUAAAAGCAUUGCAAAGAGCAUAGCUGGCAUGUUGAGGGAGGUGAUCCUCCCCUCUGUUGUGCCCUGGUGAGGCCACAGCUGGAGUGCUGCGUCCAGUACUGGGCUCCCAAGUUUAAAAACAAACAAACAAAAAAAAAACAACAGGGAUCUCCUAGAGAGAGUCCAAUGGAGGGCCAAAAAGGUGAUUAAGGGCUUGGAGCAUCUUCUGUAUGAGGAAAGACUGAGAGAGCUGGGACUGUUCAGUCUGGAGAAAAGAAGGCUGAGAGGGGAUCUCAUCACUGUUUAUGAAUAUCUCAAGUGCAAGAGUCAAGUCAAUGUGGGCAGACUCUUUUCAAUGGCAAGCAACAAUAGAACAAGGGGCAGUGGCCAGAAACUGAAAUAUGGGAAGUUCCAUACUAAUGCAGAGAAGAACUUCUUUACUGUCAGAAUGACAGAGCACUGGCACAGGCUGCCCGGAGAGGUUGUGGAGUCUCCUUCUAUGAAGAUCUUCAAGACCCAUCUGGACACCGACCUGUGUGACCAAUUGUAGGGAACUGCUUUAGCAGGGGGUUCGACCCAGUGAUAUCUUGAGGUUCCUUCCAACCCCUGCGAUUCUGUGAUUCUGAUUGUGUGGCUCUGUGAUUUAAGGCUGUGUAUUUUCCCUCUUCUCUUUUUACAGUUAUUUGAAAAUGUUUUUGUCCUGAAGUCACCCCUCUUUGACUCCCCUUAAAUGGAGUACCAAUCUGAGGUUGGACAUGCUUUAAUAGAGGCUGCUUCUUUCUUCUUCUUCUUCUUUUUUUUUUUUUUUAAGAGGUGGAAAUCAUGGAAUAAUAGAAUGGCUUGGGUUGGAAGGGACCUUAAAGCCCAUGCAGUUCCAACCCCUGCCCUGGGCUGGCUGCCCCCCACGAGGUUAGGCUGCCCAGAGCCCCUCCAGCCUGGUCUUGCACGUCUCCAGGGAUGGGUACCCAUAGUUUCUCUGGGCAGCCUUGGCUUUCCUGCUCCCAUCCAUGCACAUCCUGACAGCAUCUCUCUAUUCUUUGCAGGCCACUCAAUCCUGCUUCCGCUGCCUGCACAUUUUCUUUCCCUCACUCUGACCAGCAGGGACUUGCCCAGCCAUGCCAGUUUCCUGCCUCCUCUACUUGAUUUCUUAUCUUGGAGGUUGGAGAGCUCUUGUACUCUCAGAAAGGUGUCCUUAAAGAGCUGCCAUCUCUGCUCUGUUCCUUUGUCCCUAAGAACAACUUCCCAGGGGAUCUCACCCAACUACUCCCUAAGCAGCCUGAAGUUUGCUCUCUUGAAGUUCAGGGUCCUGACUGCUCUUUGCCAGGUGCAUAUUCCUUGAGAUCACAAAUGAGACCAGGGCAUGGUAGCUGCAGCCCAACCUGCCUCUAAUCUUAAUCUCUUUAUCUGUCUCCUCUGAAUUCAUGAGCUCCCUGGUCCAGUAACCCUUCUCCUCUGUCAGUUAGACUAAUACCUGGGCCAGGAAGUUACUGUCGGUGGGCUCUGGGAGUUUCCUGGGCUGCUUGCAGCUCACUGUGUUGCUUUCCCACAAGGCGUCUGGAUGAUUGAAGUCCCCAUCAGGAUUAGAGUCUGUGACACUUCUUGCAGCUGCAGCAAGAAUGCCUCACCCACAGGCUUUCUUUGGUCAGACAGCCUGUAGUGGACCCCAACCACCAGAUGUCCUUUAUUGGUCCAGUCCCUAAUUUUGACCCACAGGCUCUGAGUCUGAUUGUGGGUGAUUCUCAGAGGCAGCUCUUCACAGUCUAUCUAUUUCUUAACAUAGAGGGCAACUCCAGCACAGGAACAGGUUGCCCAAGGAGGUUGUGGAUGCCCCAUCCCUGGAGGCAUUCAAGGCCAGGCUGGAUAUGGCUCUCGGCAGUCUAGUCUGGUGGUUGGUGACCCUGCACAUAGCAGGGGGUUGGAACUCGAUGAUCAUUGUGGUCCUUUUCAACCCAGGCCAUCCUAUGAUUCUAUGAUUUCAUGAUUGUAAAAACCUCUCAGCCCUCAAUCAUAGCGUUCCAGUUGUGUGAUUUGUCCCACCGUAUUUCUAUGAUAGCAAUUAGGUCAUGGCUUUUUAAUAAUGACCUCAUAGGAAAAAAAUCACUCUCUUUGUCUUGAGCUGAAAAAUAUAGGCGUGUCCAUCUGUUAAGUAAGUUUUUGUGCUCAAAUGUAGAUACGGUUCUCUGAAACGCCUUAACAACUAUUAUGAUAGUGAAAGCAUCUUGACUGCAACUCGAGAGACCUGGAUUCUUUUCCUGAAAUAACCACUGAUUCUCAAGUCACUUAAUUUCCAUAUCUUGAAAACAGAGUAGUGUAUUUGCUGUCUUUCAUAAAGAGCAUUCAAAUCUACAUAUGCAAAGUGAUACGUAAACAUUUGUAAUAAUAUAGUGGGUGAUAUUCUCCAGGGAUAUAAAAAGGGGUGACCAGAAGAUGCUGGGAGAAUGAACUGACUUCUGCAGCUGUAGCUGAGCUCUUUGUCUUACUGGUGGUAAUUUGCAACUCAGAAUUUGGUGGUGGGGAGACAGAGUGCACAGUCAAUCAGAGUGCAGUCAAUUAGAGCAUGGUCAAUUAGAGCACGGUCUGAUUGACUGAACCUUAAGGAAACAUACUCUGUUUGUGUUUGCAUUAACUUAAAGGAUUCUCAAUCAUGAGGUAUGUGUAAACAUAGUGGGGUUUCUAUUUUCAAACUCCAAUUUUUCCUUUUCUGUUGCCUUCCAACUGCCACCUGAAAGAAAUCCCCUGUGGGAUUGCUUCUAAAAGUCCAAGCAUAUCUACAGCAAAAGAAGAACAUUUUGUCUUUACAUACUCACGCUGCAGAAAGGAAACAUUAUGUGGCACCGCAGCAUCAGACAUUUGCUAAGACACGCAGUGGUGGCCCUGUUUAAUUCCUCCUAGUGGACAAACUGCUCCAGCAGUCACCAGUCUAUGAGCUGACUCCUGGCUCCCUGAGGCAGUUAGUGCAGCACUGAGAUGCUGCUUUUAUUUCUGAGCCGUUUGGUGAGUGCGUUUUAAUCAGAGAUGUGGAAGAAGUGUUGGGGAGGAGGUGCAGCCUUCUCCUUCUCAGGUAAUUAAUCAUCUGAUUUUUGGUGUCUCAGUAAUUACUGUUGGCAAAAAAAAAAAAAAGUCAUUUGAAUGGUGGCAAUAUACUGCAAGCAAACAUAACUUUGAAUGACUUUGUUUCAGCCACUUGUCUGUUCUUCGUGAGCAUUUUUACAGUCAGCUGAGGACUUGUAACCAAGCCUUUGGCCACAACUGUCAGCUCCAGAUUGCCUCUAGCAGGCAAGGGUGUGAUUGCAAGAUGCUACCAUUGCUUCUGGCCGCUGGCCUUAUUGUGCUGAGUAUGCACGAAGGGACGUGCACAGCCCUGACUGCUGUUGGAUCUGAUUUCCACUGAAUUCUGCUGACCCUUAAACUGCUGCUGUGAUGGACUGAAGUAGCCUGAAGUGAACCUUUUCUCCCCAGCCAAAGCAAAAUGUUUAUCAGCAGCUCCUCUAAAGCCACUGCUGUUGCCCAAGUCUCUCCUUCUGCUGUUUGCUGCCUGCAGGAAGGCACGGGGAGAUAGCGAGCAGCCUGGGUGAACCUGCUCUGCUCCGACAGCCACUUUAGUUACCUGCCCCGAACCUCUGCUGCCAGCAGAGGCAGCUGUUGGUUCUGAGGCCAUCUGGAGGCACAAGGCAGGAUUUGAGGGAACUGCCUUUCUCUGGAGCCUCUUGUAGCACUCGUAGGCUUUGUUUAGUUAUUUAUCCAUCCUUCCAAUGCCCGUGCCAGUUUAGAACUUCCCAACGCUUUAACUACCAGAGUGUUCCUGAAUAGGUCAGAGUCAUUAUCCAUUCCUAUGAGGCAUACUGAACAGAAGAUUUGUUUUAAAAACAGAUGAAACAAUCAGCUUCUGAGCUAAUGUGGGGGUUUCUUGUUUACAUGGGCUUCAGCUCAGGCUGGACAAGGAGCUGGAAGAGUUUCUGCUGUGGGUACUCCUGUAUGUUCUUGCAGAGAUUCUUCGAACGCCGGUGGUUCUGUUAGCAUCCCUACGAGUGAAGCUGUGGUUGAGCAGAACCAAUUUAAAGUUGUUACAUUUGUCUGAGCUAAUCUUAUUUAUUUCAGGGCUUUUGCUCAGCUCUGCCCUUCUUGUUCCCGAGCACCUCUGCAUGAGUCGCCGCGGGCACAGCUGUGUGCUUAGGGACUCAGUUCUAUGGGAGCUCCCAGCUCAGGUUUGGGUACUGAGUGUUCCCCAGUCAGUAGGAGGAAAAAAACUCAGAAAUCCUCAGAGUGACUGCUGCCAUUACUUUGCAGAGAGCCUGUGAGAGCUCAUUUAUAAGGCAUCUGACAGCAAUCAGCACCAGAUCGUUCAUAAUGUCUUUGGAGUGUUUGAGGCCAGAUAAAUCCGACUGAUUUUCUGCCUUUGUGAAUAGCUGUGAGCAUAAAUUAAUCUCUAAUUUGAGGGGAAUGCUGCGUGUUAGAUGGAAAUGCAGGACGGAGCUGGAGGGGGCAACCUGGGCCUUUUUAUUCUAUCUAAACAUUAAAAUGUUCCAUCUGUACUUCUACUGCGAUCUGCAGUGGAAGUCAAAGGAAGGAUUUUGUCUCUCUUCUUUUAUAUUUAGCAUUUCUCUCAACACUUCAGAAUGUUGUCUCUGUUUUUUUGGACAAGGGGUGCAUGUUUUUUCCCACUUCUUAUUCAUUUAUGAAUUUAAAGGUCAACGUUGGGAUUUUUCGUACUCAGAAGUGUAUUUUCUGUUUAUUAUUCAUAUUUUAGGUGAGUGGUAUUUUAUUUACUUUAUUGUUUGUUCUAGAUGUUCAGCUAUAUCUGUGCUAAGAAAAAGGUCCAUUACUCGACGCAGGUGACUAGCUCUGGGUGCCCCCACCUGGUUGGAGCUGCCUAUUUCAUUGCAGUGUUGCUAAAUCCUUUCUGUAUGGUUUUCAUUCUGAAAAAGAUUAACCACAAAACAGCAAUGCAGGCAGUUCAGAUUCCUGCAGAGCACUGCUUAUGCAUUUGGUGUGUAUUUCAACUGGAGUAUGUCAGCAGCUGACAACAGGAAAGAAUCAUAGAGUGGCCUGGGUUGAAAAGGACCACAAUGACCAUCAGUUGCAACCCCCCUGCUAUGUGCAGGGUUGCCAACCAUCAGACCAGGCUGCCCAGAACCACAUCCAGCCUGGCCUUGAAUGCCUCCAGGGAUGGGGCAUCCACAGCCUCCUUGGGCAACCUGUUCCUGUGCUUGGACUGAAGGUACCGAGCUCUUCAGAACUGACUGACCCUGGCAGUUCUGAUUUGAGGUGUAAGGCACGGAUCUGAGCCAUACGUGUUCUUUGCCACUAGGGUGGUGAUGCAGACAAGUUGAUGUUCGGAAGGCAUACAGCUAUGCUGGGCUAAUGUUUGAGCCUACAGUAAAGUGCCUACCACAAACCCAUCCUUCUUGAUAUAAAGAUGUCAAAUAUUCUUUUACUACUGUUAAAGGACAUAAAGGAAAAGUUGCAGAAAGAAAUUCCCUUCUGAGAUUUUCAGUUGUAAAAACUGUUGUUCUCAUACAAACUUCAAAGCAAAGCUAGAAGAACACAUGAAGAGGCUAUUAGUGCAGCUGUGGUUUCUAAAAUACGUGGCUCAUGCAAGUCCUGAAAGGUACAACUGCUCCUUUACCAGCAUGAAAGCUGGAGAGCAGCAGAGCCCCGACAAGUGCAGGAGGCUGUUUGGAUGUCACACAGUUCAGUGGUCUCACAGUCCCAGUGUCAGACACACAGAGCCAGGCCCAGGCUGAGGUUGUCCCAGAAGAUCGUUGCUGUAGAUUACUGAAGUACAAAGGCUUGUAAACAACUACAGUGUCCACACGCGGGGCUGAAAAUGAGCUGUUAAGAGCUGAAAAUAUCAAUGUCUGAAAUUGGAAUUACUGACUCCUACUGGUUAGAGUUCCACCUCUCCCACGUAGAGAAUUGUUGGAUGCUCAUAAUGUAGCUUUUCACACUUUUUACUCUGUCCCUUAAAUGAUGUCUGUUUGAAUGUGAUUUCUUGAAGCCUUCAUUAUUUGUAAGUGAUUAUGUCAGGCUUUGAUAUAUUUUAGCUAUGAGAGUGUUUGAAUUAUCUGCUUUUCUCCUUUCAGCUGUCAUUUCAGGUAAAUGACAAUUCUGCAAGUUUGUGGUUUUGACUUCUCACCUCAGCGGUUUGGAUCAGUGAUUGAGGACGUGGACCCAGGAAUUUGAAGAUGAGCUUCACUUUUAAUGUCUUCAUUUGGACACCAAGCAAAUCCCUAACUAAUUGAGGCUGAAAUGCCUUAGGAUGAUAUUUGCUGUUCUUUAUUUAAAUUCAGAGAGUUUAUCACCACACGGACAUUUCAGUUGCUUAUUCUAGGAAACUCAUGGAAACGUGCUUUGUUAAAUAAUGUAUUUUCUAUUUUUUUUCCCUUCCUUGUGUUACAAAAUGAAUGUAAAAGCUUUAAAACCCAGCAUUCACCACUCUGCAGUAGAUCUAAUAGAGUGGCAUUAUAUGAAGAGAUGCCAUGGUAACUGAAGUUGCCAAGACAGUCAGUGUCAAGCUUUUUAAUGGUGACUGCUAUACUAUAUUUGGCUUUGAUUACCACAAUCUGAAUAGCAAAUGGAAAGUGUUCACCGGUCUCAUUUGCUACCACCUACAGUCCAGAAGUAACGAGAUGACAGAAUUCAGUGUUGCACUGACUGCCAACCACUGGCCAUCAGGAUUGUUCUUUGCAGCACUCCCCUCUCCCACUGGAUCUCAUGGCAUCCUUAUCACAGCCUUACCAUUUGUGCUAUCCAGUUGGUGAUAUGCCACUUGUCUUAAUGAAAUUUGGCACCUGAAGCCAGUAGAGGAGUCUGCACUUUGUGAGCUGGCAAAAAAUCAGCAAAGUCAUUUCCACAGGAAACUGUUCUUUAAAUCUGUAAGUGGUGCGAAAGCAGAAUAAAGCAGAAACGUACACUGUUUUUUUCUCAUAAAUGGGUUAAGUGUACCUUACCUCCCUUGCUGUAAAGCUUUGUAGAUCCUGUUAUCAUCAGUUUUCACAAAAAUGAUACUUUCUUCUGUCUCCAUAAUUUUGGUUUAUUUUUUAAAUGCCAGAAUAGAAAGCGAGGUCCCAUCGCCAAGGUGCCAUUUUAUCAUUUUGCUCACUCUAAUACAAAUGAUUUACCUAUACACUGAAGUAUUACCGUAAGUUAUAAUGAAGCUCCUUGCUAAAACGUGCAGCAGCAGUUCCAAAACGUUACUCAUUACCUUUAAAUCCAGAACUAAACUUUCUGCCAGUAGUAAUAGCCUCAUGCUGUUAAAAAGGACUGUUUUUAACAUGCUGUUAAAGGACUGCUUUACUUAAAAGGAAGCAGUCACAGAGCAGACUAUGAAAUGCUUCUUGAAUGAGAUGAACAGUCCUGGCCAUAACAGUUGUAGACUAUUGGGAAACUCAAUAGGCAGCUAACAGGAACAACUUGGGUAGGAAGAGCUUGAGGGUGAGUGCAGCUCAGCUCAGAACAGCCUUCUGUCAUUCUCUCUUGCAGUUAGGCAGACAUAAACAAAGAAGCAUGAUGGGAAGAAACUGAUAUCUUGGAGGGAAGGGAAAGACUAAAUAAAGAGUAGGGAAAAAGCUUUAACAAUGUGAUUCUUUAGAUAGAAAGCUAGUCUCAAAAGACCUAUCCCUUGACACAUGAAAAAUUGAUUGGAGAAAGCAGUAGCAAAUAGUUUUCCAGGAAGAAUGUUGUAUUGGCAGGAGGAUGGAUAAGAUGAUCACAGUUCAUUUACUUAAGUUAUAUCCAACAGCAUUAUGAAGUAGGAGAAUAUAUGGGUGAUUUCAUGUGGUUUUGGAUCGUGUGGAUUUUGAACAAACCAGUCAGGAGGUAGCAGCAUUGCUUUGGAGAUCAGCAAAUGAAGAAAAACAGCUUCAGUUGAAAGGGAACAGAUUUGACAGGAAAAAUUCAUAUUUGUUAAAGAUUGGUUUAGAAUACUGACAUCAAAUCUCACUGUCAGUGGAUAUUUUCUUCAACGGCUGUAUCUCUACUGCUAAAAUGCAACACAACAAAUUCAGAUUCAUUCCUAAGAUCAAUUUGUUCAAGUCAACAAAAUUUUUGUCACACCACUGUUAAACCUGAGAUGCCUCAAAUAAAGAGUAUAACUUGGCUUGAAAACAGCACGAAGGAUGAAUGUAAUCCAUGCCAUCGAGAAAAUAGCCAAUGUUAAACUAGAUGAGUUUGACACCAAUUCAAAAGGCAUCUUCUUGUGUCCUACAUUCUAGUAAUUUUGUUGACUAAAUUAUGUGUUUAAAUUUAUACGGCAAACUCAGGCCAGCAUUUGGGUUCCUGUGAUUAUUCAUUUGUAAGGCUGUGAAUGCUUAUUAAUGGCUCCUGGCUUUAGAAUGAGCGUUUAUGCUUCCAAAGCACUGCACAUGACUAAUUUGUUCUUCUGCUUAUUCGAAAGCAGCAGGGGUUGUCAAGAAGCCAAAUCUACACUGAAUUAAAACCACGUUGCUUUGCUUCCAUAGAAGAGGUAAUACUUGGCUGUUGUAAAAAAGUCACACUUCAAUUGAGCAUCAGUUCAUCACUGAAACUACAAAGUGGAGCAGUCGCAGAGGUAAGGUGAUGGUAAAUGCAAUGUGACGUUUCUCCUGGGCCAUACUGCAGAGAAACCUUACCUUUGUGUGGUGCAGCUGAUGUUGUGUACUUCCCAGAAAAAACAAAAGAGCUGUAAGGUUGCAGCAGAAUGCCAUGUCAAGGGAACCCAGAGUCUAAUUAAUCUCAGAGAAGUAUAAAGCCAUAACGAGUACCCACUUCAUUUUGUUUGAGUUGGUUUCUGUCCAGGUUAAAGUGAAACAGAGUGACCUGGUUGUAUGUAUGGGCCUGAAUGCGUUCCCAUGUUCUGCUAUAUAUCCCCACUACUAAGAUUCAGUCUAACCUCCAGCGUUUGGCAACCCUUAUUGUCUUCUGCCAGUUCUUCAGUCUUCAGAGGAGGUUUGAAGCUUCUCGAUAACGAUUUCACAUAGCAGUUGUGGAUCCUAAUGGUAAAUAUUUUUGGUUGGCGUUCCCUGAGGCUGCCAGUUAGCAGCUAACAGUGACACUCGACUGGUUUCUGUGCAGUGGAACUGUGCAGUUAGAUUAAAUCUCACUGAGUUAUUGCAAGGAGUUACACUGUGGCUAAAUGUUUGUACCACUGCAACCUGUAGUUUUCAAUAUAAUUCUCUGCAGCCUGGCAAGUGCAUUAAUGGUUUUACAUAGUGCGAGGAACAAAAGGUUGCGCAGCUGCUGGAGGUGGUUAUAAAAAGGCCCAUUUAACAUUCAUAGAUUCAGGGAAAGAAAACAGGAUAACCCUGCUGCUGGUUGUAGGGGUGAGUGUGAGCAGCUGCUUCAUGCGAUGCACAGCUGUGCCAGCGAUGUGCUGCAGAAGCGAUGAAUUAAGCUGUAAAGUGCAAGUCUCUGUGUACAACGUCCCGUUUUUGGAUAGCCCUGGAAAGUAAUGUAGAAGCUGUACAUGAGUGCCUCAAGUCUCUUUGCUUGCCUGUGCAGCAAUUAAUUUCAUACCUAUGCUAUGAAACCCCUGGAACAUCCCGUGUAGUGCGCAAACCAAGCGCUGUGCACAAACCUCCCAGCUAGACCAGAGGAAUUUAUAUCCCCUUCACUGACACACACAGACUGCUGGGUUGGUGCAAUGCUCUGAUGUGUUGGAUAAUAUGUGCAGGUCGUUGAACUUCAGUAGUACUGGAACAUGUGGAACAAACACUCUUGAAAUGAAGAAACUCCCAGCUUUGGGGCUGUGGCUGCAACCCUCCAAGGUGCUAGAUGUGUGAAAUGUGUUCUUCAGCACUGUACCUGAACAAAAAUCCUUCUGUCACUCCCUAGAAUUGCUAAAAAUGCUAGUUGUGUUUUAUAGAUAAAUGAUUGAUUGUGAGUUGUUGGCAUCAGCAACACUGCAGGCAUCACCGCCAUGCAGAGCUUUGUCUGAUUCCUGCCUGGCCAGCAAUGGUAAAUAGGUGCAGGGCUGGAGGAGCUCCAGGUGUCACUGUUAGGACAGCACCUGGGUAACUGGAGGGGCUUGUUUGUCACUGCUGAGGGAUUUCUGUGACCAAGACUCAACAGCUGCAUGCAGGGCAGCUCUGGCUGAAUCACACAGCUUCAGGUGUGGGAAGCAGCACUGCUUUAUGGAGGCUGCCUUUUUACUUUGGAGGUUUCUUAGCUGUUACAUAGUUGGUCACUGAUAACUUUGGCACAUUUUUGGUGGAGUAAUCUUGCCAGCAGCUUGAUACGUAGCUACAGAAAACAAAACAAAAGCAUCCUCACUUUCCUCAUUCUUUCCCCUCAAAUGAAGUAAUUUGAAAAGUGCAGAGCUCUGUUAAAAAGCAGAAUCAUCUGGGAAAGGAAAUUUGUCCUGACAGAGAUGGCAGGGGUUUGCUAAGCAGCAAGGCUGUGUGACUCCAUCCUCGUGGAACUGCUCCAGCACUGACCAGACGCACUCCUUCCAGGUCAGGACAGUGGGAGCUUGAGCCUUACUCUGUCCAAACAGCUUUGGACCAGACUUUGCUGCUGUCUCCUGCUCUGUGGUCCCGUUAUCUAUGGCAGCUUGGUUGGAAUGGUGUUGCUCAGACCUCUUGGGCAAGUCACUGCAAGCCCUGGUUGCUGGGAGAUCCUGUCUGCUUAUCGCAACUCCAGCCAGUGCUAUGACUUGCAAGACGCAGCAUGCUGAGGGCCCUCACUAGCACCUUGUCUCUCUAACUUUGCUAUGGGUUUGUCAUGGGCAGGCUCACUGUCACCCCUUUCCCCCUUCAAACCUGGUUUAAAGCCCCCUCAAUGAACUCAGACAUCUCCUGGGCUAGAAUUCUUUUCCCCUUAGACUCGGGUGGACUCCAUCCAAGCCAGGCUCCAAGUAAACCACCCUGUAGUCAGAAAAGCCAAAAUUCCUGCAGUGGCAUCAGGCUGUCAGCCAUGUAUUUAUCAAACAGACUUUCCUGGUCCUCUCAGUAUCCCUCCCUGCAACUGAAGGGAUUGAGAACAUCAUCUGUACUCCCGCUCCAUCCACUGCCCUUUGGUAUUUGUAAUGUUUGUCACAGUUGUUGGUUCUUGGAAGAAUGCAGUGUGUGCUGCUAAAUGGGGAUGGAAAAUGCAACAGCCGCAUCCAUGUAUAUUGAAAUGCAUUGUGUAGCAUUACAGAAGUGUUUUCAUAAAGCUGACAUUCAGAAAAACAUUCAGAAAUACAUAUACUAUAGCAAUACUAGACAACAUCUGUUAAUAUUUUAUGCUUUUUUAAACUCACAGCCCUUGGAGAAGGAGAGAUUUGACAGUGAAAUAUUCAAUUGAUUUCAGCAGCAGUGGGUCAGAUCCACAAAUCAGGCCAUUGAUGUAAUUUGUCCCUAGAGCUUUAGCUGUCUAUGGAUGCUGGUAAGGUACUGGUGCCUGUUGUUGCCUGCCCUUGGCAGCAAGAGCACUCCCCAUUUGUAAGGAAGUAAUCUAAUUUUAUUCAUCUUCUUGCUUCAUCUUAGACUUUAUUGCCAUCUGUCUUCAUGAGGUAGAUAGAUCGUUUGAGUGUAGCCUUCUGUACUGUCGUUGUCUUUUGUUUCCCUUACAGAGAGCUUGUGUAGAUACUCACUGCUGUUACUGAAGUGGACUGGAGUUUUAAACCUGUUGCCUGUCCUCUUCAUCUCGUCGUAACACAACCUGUUCUCUUGGCAUGACAAAGUAGAAGCUUCCUCUGCUCAGCCUAGUGACAUGUCACCUGGUCACCAACCUUUCAUCUCCUCUUAUAAUAUCCAUGCUGAGUAGUCCUUACAGAUUGACUCUGUGAUAGACAGUCUGUGUGAUGUCUGAUUGGCAUAGAUGGACAGAGGUUGCUCCAAAAGUAAUGCCUCCUAUUUAUUUCCAUGGAAACCAACAGAUACAAAGAGCACAAUAUUAUUGUUUGAUAGAGCACAUUCUCAGCUACAAAACACUGUUUUUCAACACAGAUACCACCAUUAACAAGCAUUUGCAAGCUGUAUUCAUAAAAAUCUGCCUGACCUAUAGGAACGUGGCUUGUCUUUCACAUUGCUGUCACCACUGCUGAAACACACCAUGCACCACCUCAGUGUGUUCACAUCCUCUGUUCGGUCUCCAUUGAUGGAAUGUCAAUGGGUGCCAUUUUUUCUGCAUGGAGGAAUUUAGUCCCACCCCUCUACUCCAUUCAUACUUCCAUGUCAGAUGCCAUUCUUUCCGAUUGCCCCCCUACUGCCAUCUGUCAUAAAGCAAAAAAAUAUAAUGAAAUAUUGACGGGAAGGUUCAACUUCUACUGCCAUCCCAGCACCAUCCACCUCUGAUGUUGUGGGCCAACAUCAUAAAAUAGGAGGCAUUACUUUCAGAGCAGCCCUCAUAACCGAGAAUGUUUGAAUUAAGUGUGCAGCUGUCUUGAUAGCCUGACAGUAACUUCAGCAAAGGGUGGCAGUGCCUAGGCAGAAUGUGUCUGAAAGCAGGAUUCCCAGUCUGGGAGGUGGAAUUACUUCUCUCUUUGUAUCUUGAUUAUUUAUUUUUGCUGUAUCAACUCUAAUGCUGGGCUUUUGUGUUCACAUCAGCACUUGGUGGAACCAUAUUGGUGGCCCUUUUGAUGGAGGUGAGAGUUUGUCAUUGGUGUAAGGAGAUUUCAUUGUUGUAUCAGUUCUGUAGUUCUUUGACACUCCUAUGUAAAUAUGGUAAAUCCAAACCAAUCCAUGUAUUUGCAUCUCUCCGAGGAUCUGCUUUGAAAUCUGCAUUUCAACAGCCUUUGUAACCGUACCUCAACACAAUGCAGAUAAGAAAGUGCUUUCUGCCAUCCCUGUUAAAAUGCAAGACAGCUUUUCCAGCUGGACAUAACUGCGUACCUUCACUGGUCUCCCCACAAUUGGGAUUUUUCUUCCUUUCCAAGAGUGAGCAGUGCCAUCAUGCCACCAAGCAUGGCAGCAGCUGACACAGGGAUUAAACUGCUUCUUCCUUGCUCUCUGCCUGGAAGAUAAUUCUUGAAGGAAGUACAGUAGGAUUUAGGAAAAAUUUCUUCUUCAAGAGAGUGGUCAGACACUGGAAGGGGCUGCCCAGGGAGGUGGUGGAGUCACCGUCCCUGGAGGUGUUCAAGAAACAUGUAGAUGUUGUACUGAGGGCCAUGGUUUGGUGGGGAAGUACUGGUGGUAGGUGGAUGGUUGGACUGGAUGGUCGUGGAGGUCUCUUCCAGCCUUGGUGGUUCUAUGAUUUUCAGCACAUGUACAUAUUUAAGGCAUUUUUUAAAGUGUGUUUCUGAACUUCAUAUUUAGAAACCUGCUUAUUCAAGCUUAUGCUUUGCUAAGUUCUAGGAAAUGAAAUUAACUUGAAGAGCAACUUACUGUAAUUUACUGUGAACAAGUUGUAUCUGUAACAGAAGCUUGCUGGCACAUGCUGCUUUAGGUUGGACAAGGGAUAUGAGUGUGUGUAUCUUUCUGCUAUGUGGUAAGACUCCACGUGAGGAUAGAGGUCCUGGGGCCUCAGAGGAAGACUGAUGUCUUGCCUGAGGAGGAAAUUCAAGGUGUGCGGUCAUGGUUGAUGUAAAAGCCAUUCUGCUCACCCUGCCCUUUGGGCAGUCUGCCCUUCCCAUCCUGCAUAGGUCAAUCCUUUAGGUCCAUCUCAUACGCUGUGGACCUUGCGUUAAAGGGGAGAAUGCACUGCUGGAGGUGUGCCAGUUUCUGAUUCCAAAUGUUGGUGCAUCUUCUCAGCUUCUUUCAUGCUUUCUCUGGCGAUUGCUUCCGUGAAUACAAAAUCUGACAAAUAAUUGCAUUUUGAAGGGCAUGCUUAAUGGAGGUCCAUAAAAAUGAUUUACAGGCAACUGCAAACUGAACUAUUACACUAAAGGAUAAAAAGCUUCCUUAAUGAGCUGUACAAGACAGUUAUUGAUGUAUUUAUGAAAACAUUCCCCAGUACAUGCAACCAGGGGAAUUCAAAGAUAAAUAUUUAAAGAUUGUCUGACAGUUUUUGAAUGUAGCAAAACUCGGGUUCCUCUGGUUCCUCUGUAGGGCAGUAAAUGUCUUGAAACAAAAGUAUGUGUGAUUUGUAACAGAAGAGAACAAAACCUGUCUUAAAACUAGAUGUCUUUCUAUGUGACAAUGCUUUGUUCAACCUAAGAGAUAAAGCAAGGAGAAAAUAGGCAUGGGAAGCUUAAGAUAUUAAUAAGGUAAGCCAACAUUUUUUUUCUAUCUAGGUAAUUUAUUAGAAUGGUGUCAAAGAAAUGUACUUAAGAUGAUGAAAUGUAACAACAGUUUUGCGUUUGAUUGAGUUUCCUUCCAUCCCAUCAUUGCUGUACACAAUCAGGUUAUUCAAGUGUGAUCUUUAAGUGUUCACAUUGUGAUUUAUAAUCUUGAUCUUCGCACCCCAGGGAGAGAAAAAUUGGUCUGUUGUUAUGAAUCUGAUUAAUAUAUAGAACAAUGUGUGCCCUUUUGGUAUUUAUUACACACAUGUGCUUUUAGUUUGGAUUAUCUCAUUGUUACUUGCACUUUGCAGGCAUACUGCAUUACUCUCUGAGUAACAAACUGUAGAAGCAUUCUAAGUAUUGGGGCUGACACUUGGUGUGGCAUCACCUUGUCAUUGGUGCGCUUUAUAUCCUUGACUGGCUUAAUAAUUGAUAAUUUUUAAAUAAUAUGGUUUUCUUUAGGACCACAGCUGCUGUGUCAUGUAACUCCUCCUGCCAUACAGAACGAAGAUCUGGCUCAUGCUAUUAAAUAAGCUCUAGAGUCUUUUUUAGACUUCUUCCACCACAUUGUUUCUUGGGCUACAGACUGAGACUGGGCUAUGGAGCCUUUUCCUUUGAAGGUUGGUAGAAGGAGUGAAUGAGGGACAGGGGCUGUGCUAGCCAGCCUGUGAAAGGUGCUGGCAGCUGCCCUGAGUGUUGCUCAUGGGUAGAAGAGCUGCAUUAGCAGCCAGUGCUGAAGGUUAAUAGAAGAGUUUUAGUCUUGGGGGAUCUCUUCUUCAGCACCAAGAAGGGUUGUGAUGAAGCUGAAUUUCCCCCUGGGUGACGAUGCUGGUCCCGUUUUCACUUACAAGAACAUGGAAUAUAUUCAUCAACAUUCAUUAACUUCAUGGAUCUCAAGGAAGCACUCAUAACCUCCACUAAGACUUCUGAGUUGUAAGUGUAGUAUGGGGUAGUAUUUAAGCUUUUCUAGCUUUCUGCUGGGAUAUAAGGGUUUGGGUUUCUUUCUUUGUUUUCCUUGAUGUCAUUUGAUUGCUUCAAAUUUUACUUUUUUGGCUUAUUUUUCCUGUUUCAUUUCCCCUGUAAGGACGCAGCAGUUCACAUGCACCAAAGUCUCUGUAAUAGUGUCCUUACAAUGAAAGGGGAUUUGUGUACUAAGGAUUGUAUCAGUGAAAAACUAGUGUUGGAUUUUUGCUAUGUGGGAAUGUAAGGCAAGGAGAGCAGAAAAGGAAUAGCCAAUACUUUUGAUAGUUAAGGAAGCACAAGGGUACACAUACAAGUCCUGAGCCUUGGAAAGGUUCUCAGUCCAGCUCUGUAUAUCUGACUCAGUAUGGAACAGCCUGUGUUAAUUUAACUUAAAUCUCUCCUGCACCAAAUUGUAGGUGGGAAGUCUGUUGAUCAAAGCCAGACUUUUAAAGCAGGUUUCCUGUAGUAGUGUGUAAAAUCAGUCUUUGUACAAGAGUAGUUCUGUCACCUGCCUUGCAAGCAAAUUACAUUAUGCAAUUUAGAGCCCAAGUAUGGCUUAACUUCAGUGGAUAAAUCUCAUGCCUGUUGUGAAAGCAUUCAUGUCCUUGGGGCCUGUAUUUGAUUUCUCAAUAUGUAGGAACAAUAGAAAUUUGAAGAUUUUGAUUGAAAUGCAACCCAUGGAUUAUGCACGUAACCAUUUGCAGCCUUUACUUAUGCACCUGUUGUGAAGACGCAUCCACACUAAGGAACUGCAGCUCAGCCUCUUUGCUUGGCUGCAGUGCCUUUUGGUGUAAGCUAGUGGAGAUGUUUUGCCUCUAUCAGAAGAACUGAAGCACUGUUCUUCCAGGGAGGCCGGCAGCAACAAAGAAAGAAGGAUGCCCUGAAUGGCUGUUGGAGGCUGUCAGACUGUUAUAUCUCUUGUAUUUACUGCUUUACUUGUUGCCUUUGGAAGAUUAUUGCUGUCAGUGCUUGAAGGACCCUGCUCCACAGUCACCUAGAUGAUCUCACCUUCUAUUCUGUAUUGUUUUCAGAAAAUACAAUGGUUAGCAUGUUAAUGGUUAACAUACAGUUUUAGCAGCUUCAGUUGCAUUAUAACUCAAAAAUUCUGUCAAGAAGAACUUAGAUUGAGCUUCAGAUUCUGACAGUGUCCUGAAGACAAUCUUACUGGCUUCUCCCAGGUGACUUGCGUUUCCAUUCUGCAGGCUGGAGCAAUGUGAUGCUGAGGUGAUCCAGAAUUUCUGACUCUGUGCAGAUCAGCCCUGUCCCUGAGCAACCACCAGGCAGGUACGAUUUAGAUGAGGGUACAAAAGCAUGGAGACCCCUCAGAUUUAUGGGUGCCUCAGUCACCUAGAGCAGAUUGUCUGUGAGAUGAGAGUGCACAGAGACCACAGUUGGAUAUUGUACACCUCUGGAGUAGUUACCUUGGCAACUAUCAUACUGUGUGCGGUUUGGUUGCGAGGAACUGGCACAGCAGAGAAGUGUGACAUGUGAGACAUAAUCCUCCGUGCAUUUCCGAAGAUGGCAAGCAGGUGAUGGCGUGAGCAUUUCUGCUGUUGGCAGCGUAACGGCCACGAGCUCAUUGCUGUAGCAGCCCUACUCUCACAAUUUAAAUUCCUCAUGUUAACAAAAAUGAAGAGCUGUGCAGUGGUACAUGUUAUCAGCACUUUUUCUGGAGGAGUUCCUUGAGAAUGAAGGUGAAUAAAACCAUCCUGCUUACCUCACCACCUCCCACUCGUUUUGCCUAAAACGCCUCAUUGAAAUUUCUUAGCAGAGCAGGGCUGUGCAGCUCCUGGAGGAUCCUCUUAGAUCUUGGUUGGUGGGAGGUGGAUUUGCCUGGGCUGCUGACUUCUUUUUCUUCAGAGACCUCGGUAAGCUGUGUGAGUUCCCAGGGCACCCAUCCCAUCCCCCUCCCAGCCCAGGGGAGCCCACAUGGCUCAGAAUAAUGAAGGCCCUUACUGAGGGUGUCAGGGUUCACGAUUCCUCUCCUCUAGUUCUUGUGAUGAUUCUAUAAGGCGCCAGUAGGGCUUGUUAACAGAGCUGAUCAAUGAAACUUGUGUGCAAGGAUCGCUAAGAUCAAUUCUGCAAUGAAUCAAAGAGUCCUUCCAGUAUUGACUUUCUUUUUAAACAGCAAAAACUGGAAGAAAAAAAAAUAUAAGAGUAUUCACCACUAUUGGUGUGUGUGGCUGAGCCGUCCCUGAAGGGCAGCAGUCUGCAUGCAGCUGUGCCAGGGGUUCCAGGUGGCACAGACCUCAGAGACCCCCGAGUGAGGAAGCAGAGAUGGGGUUGCUCAUGGUGCUGUAUUUUGGCCCAUGCUCAGUGCGUCACUGUUGUUUGAAUCUUAAAAAGAUUGCCCCCUCCUCGUUCCAUUUUAGUUUCCUGGUCGUAGCUUUUGUCUUUCCAUAGCAAAUGUGGUUCCUCAAGCAUUGCAGAGUACGGGCGCUUUUACUUGACUUUGAAAUAUUUUAAGCCUGAUUCUCUUUCACUUAGCUUUCACUUCUAGAAAUGAAAAAUAUCAGAAUAGAUGGAGUUGCUCAUUUUCUGUGUAAUUCAGUGAGAACUCUGUCAGGUCAAGUCUAGCACAGACAAGAGGCCCCUCACCGCUGGGUAGGAAGAGACAGCUUGGUAGUCUGCAUUCCAAGUCAAGGUGCAUUUCCAGGAGAGGUGGGAAGGGGGGUGGCAAAGCAAGUUUCACAGAACUCUCUUAGUUCUCCUUGGUGGAGUAAUCCCUGUUAAAAAGCUGACUGAUCAAUGACCAUAAGGAGAUAUACCACUGUCUUGUACAGGCUUACUGUACUUGGAAGUGCAAUCAGUGUUUUAAUGACUGUUCCCUGCUGCAGUAUGUUUAACUGCAUUGAUUGAUACCUUAAAACUGUGGCUGUUCAUUAGGCUUUAAAAAUUUUCCUUCUUUAUGUGUUGUAUGUGGGAGUGUAAGCCAUCAGCUUAUGUAAAAUGUAACGUUGUCUUUUGGGAUACCCACUCAUUUAAAAAUAUAUAUAUAUGAAAAAAGAUCAGGUGGGUUCAUUCGUCAAGGUGUGAAUGCUUAAGACCAUUUUACUAACGUGAAACCAAAAUCUGGUGAUUUUAGGGGAAUCACAGAAUCACCAAGGUUGGAAAAGACCUCCAAGAUCUUCCAGUCCAACCAUCCACCUACCACCAAUAUUCCCCACUGAGCCAUAUCCCUCAGUACAACACCUAAACAUUUCUUGAACACCUGCAUGGUUGGUGACUCCACCAUGUCCCUGCGCAGCCCAUUCCAAUGCCUGACUACUCUCCUGGAGAAGUGUUUCCUAAUGUCCAACCUGCAUUGGAGUUAACAUUCUGUUGUGUUUUAGUGAGUAGAGCACAGUGUAGGGUGGGUUUCUUGUACAAGUGCAUCUAUUCAUUCAGCAGCAAUACAAACCCACGUCAGUAUGGUUUUCAGCACACCCAUGGGUGUGGAUGGGGUUGCUGGUGCUCUCAGGUCUGCUGCUUCCCGCUGUAACAAGCAGCCUGAAAGCUGCAGCUUGCUGUGUGUGUUCACACAGCCUGUCAGUCUGCUGCUGCCAUUUGAUUUAGGAUGAUGAAAGCAGGAGCAAAAUCCAGCUAAAAGUGAAGUGAGUUGUGUUGGAUGGAUUUGUAACUCCUGGUGACCUGAGGAAGGAGAGACGAUGCCGCCGGAUGUCACCUGGCGGUGGGCAGACACCUCAGCCCUGGCUGUAAGUACGGGAGAGUUUUGCAGCUGCAGUCUUCCUUUUCAGCUUUGUUCUCACAGCUCUGGGCCUUCUGGUCGGAUCCAUGCAGGGCUGCCGUGCCGUGUGUCAGUCAGUGCCCUCCCACAGGCUGGGAGCUCUGUACAAUUUGCCCUUUUGAAACAUGAUCCUUUGUUCCUACUGAACUCGGGGCCACUAUCCCAGGAACCUCAUUCCAUUUUCCAGCUGUCUGAAAUUGGGCUUUCUGCUGCAGAGGAUUUUCUUGCCAUAUCAGAGAUUCCCUCUCCCUCCAGGCUUUUUAUUGCUAAAACAGUAGGCUAUGAAUGCUGCAUCAUGGUGCAUACAGGUGUGUGUAUCAGUGUUUGUGCCAGCACACUGCAGGCGUUAUCUUAUGCUGUGCAUUUGUGAAAGUGCUGUGAAUGUUCUGUGGGUUAUAACACUCAAUUGCACGGUGCAUCUUCCCAAAUUCCCACAAAGAACAGCAGAACUGACAGCAAGAGAUGCACUAACAAAAUCACACGGAGCUCUUGCCAAGCAGAGGGCAGUUUUGUUCCUAGGCACUGAAGGACAACGAUGACCAACAACAUGCUUGCUCCUAUAUUAAUAGGUUUUAUUUCACCAUAAAUCUUACCGCACACCCUGCAGCUUGUUGUGCCUUUGCCACACUAAACCGUCCUGCAGGACGUUGCUCACAUCUUGUUCACGUGCUGUCCUUUCUGAUCAACCUGCCAGGCGAUGGAGCAGGAUAGGGAUGUCAGGGCAGAACUGACCAGGAGGUACGGACUGCUUCAGCCAGGAGGAACAACACUGACUCCUGUGUUUUAUCUGGCUGCUGGCUGUGGGAAUCCUGCCAACCAGCUGGUGAAAACGGUAUAAAAUCUGACUUUGUGUAAUAUUACACUUGUUUCUGUGAUCCUUGCUUUUAGCAAAUAGUUCAUUCCUAACCGCUGUUGGGAAGCAGGCAGACUGACAGUGCUGUGAGUGCACGUGGGCUCUGCUCUGCAGACACAGCCUGUGUUUCCAGGGUUGUACUCCAUCUCCCUUCCAUGCUUUGGUACUCAGAAAGGAUUAACUUUGCCCUCAGUGCCUUUACACAAACAGCACUAAAAUAUUUGAAGGAAUGUGAUUUUCUCUGGGGCUGGAUGGAAUUAAAGCAUUGUACUUGUCGUGAUUUAAGGUUGUUUCUGAUGAUGGAGGCUGGCUGAGGUUUCUCACUUCUGCUGUCCUCUCUUGCAUGCCUUGUUUCCUACAGUCUGUGUAACAAGCUUUCCCAGGGGAAAUCUCCCAGCAACAGCAUGCGCUGAUGAUGCUGUGACGCCUGGCUGUCGGAGUUGUUGCACACAAAUAGGACUGACAAGUGAAACAGAAAAUGUGAGACUAUCUGAUGUUCCAGGGAGGAUGGCUGAAGCAUGGCCACUGCAGGAACGCGGCUCAGUUAAACUUGCUUCUCCCACAGCAAAGAUCAUUAGGUUAAAAAACAGCUGGUCUUUUGACAGGCCUGCUUUCCAAAUGAGACAGCACCAACACCAGCUUUCAGUUUUAAGAAGCUGCCAUUAUUUAUCCCUUUAAAUCACUGAUUUUAUUAGUUCUGCUGGCAGCUUUCUUAGCUGAAUCUGCAUUUUGUGUAAUUUGUUGUAAUUCACUUGUGCGGGCAGGUUACUAUUUUCUUUGUGCUUGUAACUGUGAUUACAGUGUUCAGACUUUCCAACCCUAGCACUGUACCCAGGGUAGGCAGUGUCACCUGUUGAGGUUGCCCAAGAGCUCCCACUAUAAAUCCUAAUUUCUAAUACAUCCAUGUAUCUCUACAGCAGUCCCUGUGCAGACUUGUUGCUGGCUCACGCCUGCCAGUACUUCACAGAGAUGCAGGUGAGUGUCUCAAUUAAGCAGGUGAGCUGGAAGGUGCUUUCCCCAUCAUCGCUUGCAGACUGUCUCCCUGUCAUCUCCUUCUGUCUGACAUACCUGAUUGUUUUUGCUGGGCCGCAGUGUGCAGAAAUGACUGUGGCAAUAAUUCUUCUGCUCUCCUUAAACCUUUCAGAUGCCAUUGGUGGACUUUUCACUGCUGGACAGAAGGCAUUUGUGUGAUUGCUUGUUGUGAAGUACCUUCUGCAGAGACUGCCUGCAGUUUUGGAAGGCAGCUGGAUAGCAUCAUGCAUUAGUAAUCUAAUGACCUUUACCCCUCGGCACCAUUUCCUCACAUCUUGAACAGCUUGGCAAUACUAGGAAAGCAUCCCAUGGUUCAGUACAGUUGUGUAAUAGAAGUUCUUCUCAUUACAUUUCACUCAUUGACUGAUUUUAUCUCAAGAGUAAGCACAGCAGCUAGAAAUCACAGGAAGCCUCGGAAGAGAGUUGGAUUAAUACCUGAAGGCAGUUUCCUCUGGAAGUGAGCUUUCCUUCGAGGCAUGGAGCAGCACUGCUGCUGUGGCUGCUGCACUGGGGCUGCAGGAAGUCCCUCUGUGCAGACAAAACUCAUUCUGGGAACAUGCAAAGAACACAGAGUUUGGACCCAAUUACUCACUCUGCCAUCUUUUUUUAUCCUCAAGGAUGGGGGGGAAUCCUUUAUCAGUGCAUAGUAAUCGUCUUGAUGUCCAAUGAAAAGAGCAAUGACAAACAUUUCCUUGCCAGACAAUGAGUAUUGCAGGCAGACAGCUGGGUUACUUUCCACCUUUGCACGAGCACAUCUGCUCAACGAGCACGGCGUGCAUUCGGAGAUACCCGAGCACGCAGGGCUGACAUUUGCUUUUCAGAAGCGCCCCCCUGACAGGCACUUGAAUGCUCAGACACCCGUGUGAAAGGUACACAGGACAUCAGUGGGACGAGCUGCGUAACUCACACCAAUGACACGUCUCUUUUCACUUGCAGUAUUUAUAGCUGGCAGUGAUUUCCCAUUGCGCACUUUUGCUUUAGGAAGGACUUCUAAAAUAUCAAGAGUUUGUUCCAUACAGACCUUUUCCUUUGGGUACAUGAAGGAGGCUGAUGUCAACGGCAGCUCUCGGACGUGGCCCUGAAUACACAGCAGUACGAGCCAUUCUGCUUGUGCAUGUGGUCAGCUUUUGCUUCAGUCUUCUUGUGCUUCUGCUUGUGCUUCAGGCAGCAUGACUUUCAGAGCUCUUCAUUUUAUUUUAUGGCUAAUUUCACGAAUUCAUUAGGGGCAUUGUAGUGGCAGUGCUCAGUCACAGCCUGAAACAGUGAUGGAGCACCUGGUGGGAAGGCAGGGCCAACCCAGGGGAGUUCAGGUGCACGUAGUGCUGCUGAGUGACUAGAAGGGAUGGAGUCAGUAUCCACCCCUUCCCAGCCCUCAUUUAAGGGUUGGCAGUGGAGCUGAGGGUAUCUUUUGCUGGAGAUUCCUGCUUACCUGCGGCCUUCUAAGAGUAAGCAGCUCUUUUCCUUAAUUUUUGCAUCUGUGGCUGUUGCAUUUGGGCUCAUUCUCAUUUGGAGUAGCUAAAGACUUUGACGCCCUGCUAUUAUCCUAUUAUAGCGUUGCAGGCAUUAAUAAUAGUUAAGGAGAUUUAAAUCCAUUAUGACUGUAACACUGGGCAGGCUGCAGGGGUGUGCAGAUGUCAUCUCCAUGUUCUUCUGGAGGAAUUUUGGAUGCUCAGUAGCAGUGAUGCCAGUGUUGGGGCAUGCACCCAGAGCACCCCUGUCUGGAGGAAAUGUAGUUCCCCACAUCUUGCAACGCACAGAGCUGUGAGAACACCAGAAUGCCUGAGCACUCAUCUGCUGCCCAGCUCUUGGCUGCUGCUAGAUGCAGCUCGUGACUUUGAAACCAGUUGUUUGCAAAAGAGCUCUGUGCCAUGCCCUGCAGGGCGAGCAGGGCCUCGUGCUGCAGCUGCUGACUAAUGCAUGACACCUCUGCUGUGAGGCAGUUGUGUUCACUCACCGAGGUCAGGGUGACUCAAAGCAGCACAUGUUCCAUGUCGAUGCCCAGAGGCAGCUGCUGUUUUACAUCAUGACAAUGUCAAUUAUCACCUACAACACUCCUGUAAGGAGUAAAAUGGCAUUGACAAAAGAUGCAAUUAUUUGGCUGUUUGCUUUCUCAGUCCUCUGCUAAUGUCAGUGUCUGGUUGUCUCUCUGAUGAUGCCUUUAAACCACAUGUGUGACAGCUACACUGCGUUGAAAAACACAGCUUUCCCCACCUGUGUGUGCAUGAGGAGAUGUGCUGUUGCAGAGAUGCCCUGAUCUUUCUGAGCACCACUGUAACGCUGCUGGAGAAGCUCAAGGGGGGAUUGUGUCCUUUCCAGUGGAGGCUGGAGGUGCAAUAUUGAUCUCAGCCCCCAUCUCUUGGAUAGCUGGAGUGUCAAGCACUGGGUAGAAUUGCUGUAAGUGCGCUGGCUCUUGCUGUGCUCCUGGCCGUUCCUCUGCUUCAUGUCUAUGUGCUUGGGCCUUUGGAGCUGGCUGCUGCACCAGCCCAGCUCUCGGAGGUGUCCCCCAGCAGCUGCUGCCUGGGGUUGCUUGGGCUGCUCGCAGGAGCUGAGGGCACAGCCCAGCCCGCUGUGCUGGCAGAGGCUGAUAGCCUGCCCAGAGCAAGUUUUUCUCCUCCACCACAGUCAUCUGACCUGUCCUUAGAACGGCAUCUGCUUUUGGGGGGCAAGACCAACAAAAAACAACAGCAACAAAAAGCUUUUGUGAUUCAUCUCUUAUUUAGAGCAUGUGCUAAUGAUGAAUUUGGGUGCAUCCCAUCUUGUCUCUAGGAACAGCUGGAAUAACUUCUGUGUUUUUGCAUUGGAAACAACAAUGUUGCCGAAUCAUAGCUGUUCUUUGUGAAUCUCUCCAUUUCUUUAAGUUGUCAAUUUAUGGAAAAGUGGAAGAAUCUGGUAGUGAAACUGAAACUUCUUGUUUGAUCAUUUUGGUACCAGCAGAUGUGGGGAAUUCAUUCCAGGACAAGUUUAUUGCCUACGUUCACGUUCUGACAUUGCCAAAAUGAGCAGAAAUAAAAGCCUUCCCCACCCCCCUCAAGUUUUUAAAUAUAAUGGGAAAUGUUUUUAUUCUUUGGAGUUGUGGCAGAGUCUGCACAAUUUAACCUUGCAGACUUAUCCUGUUCAACCACAGGUCGUGUGCUGCUGUCCCAGCAGCUGGGGCUGGAUCCAUGCAGUCAGUCUGCACACGACGUGGAGGUUUGCUGAUGCUGCACAGUUGGGUGCAGGCAGUCAUCUGCAGAGCCCUCACGCCUUUGUAUCAUCCAGCCUGAUACUCAUAGCGCUGUUUUACUAAGCCCAAAGCCUUUACUGGUUACACAUGCUCUGCGUCAUUCCUUCCAUUGGCACGUGCUCCGUUCGGCAUUCUCUCAUUCACGUACGACACAGGGAAGGGAUUGUAUACUCCACUGUGAUACCACUUACAUCUCCUCCUUUGUUUCUAGGCAUGUAAUUACAUAUGGAUUUGGACCUUAACAAACCAUGGGUUGCUUUAGGUUACACUUGCUCCUGCCUCAGCCUAACUACGUGUUUUCAUUUAGAUUUUGGCAAGACCUUUGUCUGGCCAGCUGGCUUUUGUGCUCGAGACCAUCCUGUCUUUUGUCUUGAGUUACCCUUCCUUCUUCCCAACUGCAGCCCUGACUGCACUUGCAGUAACAGGGAUGAAUUUAUCAAAUGUUUGUGUAUUCACACAAUUAAAACGCAGAUAUUGAUUUGUUACUUUGAUCUCUUGGCUUCCCUUACCAGAAUGUAGGCAUGUAGACACAAAUACAGGGUGUGGAGGAUCUGUUGCAAAGGGCAAUUUUGAUCUGGCCGUAGCAGCGUGAGCCAUCUGUUGAUUGGCCUUUGUCAGCCAAAUUGUGCUACUAGUUGGCAUAGUGAAUAUGUAUGCAGCACUCUGCAGGACAAAACUCAUAAAUUCAGAUUGCCUUGCAUGAACUUAUAUAUGCAGUUCAGCUCCACAAAGAGAAAGAAAAAGAAAAAAACUGCAUACAUUGCUUAUGCAACAAAAUGUUGCUUAUUUAUAGUGGCAUUUACAAGGUGCAGGGAAAGCUGAUAUCCUCCUCAAUGAUGAGGGCUGAAAACCUCAUUAAAAUGUGUUAUAACAUCAAGUGAUGCAUUUCUGCCCCUACUGCUCCAUUUUAACACAGG
ensembl:lncRNA